GCCGGGCGUGGUGGCGCAUGCCUGUAAUCCCAGCUACUCGGGAGGCUGAGGCAGGAGAAUUGCUUGAAACCAGGAGGCAGAGGUUGCAGUAAGCCGAGAUCACGCUACUGCACUCCAGCCUGGGUGACAGAGCAAGACUCUGUCUCAA
rnacentral:SRP_RNA from 1 species